rnacentral:rRNA from 1 species
CCGACGGGUGAGUAACACGUAUGCAAUCCACCUGUAACAGGGGGAGUAACCCGGAGAAAUCCGGACUAAUACCCAUAAUAUGGGCGCUCCGCAUGGAGAGUCCAUUAAAGAGAGCAAUCUUGGUUACAGACGAGCAUGCGCUCCAUUAGCCAGUUGGCGGGGUAACGGCCCACCAAGGCGACGAUGGAUAGGGGUUCUGAGAGGAAGGUCCCCCACAUUGGAACUGAGACACGGUCCAA